UACAGAGGGUGCGAGCGUUGUUCGGAAUUAUUGGGCGUAAAGGGCGCGUAGGCGGUGCCACAAGUCACUUGUGAAAUCCCCGGGCUUAACUCGGGGCCUGCAGGCGAAACUGUGGUGCUGGAGUAUGGGAGAGGUGCGUGGAAUUCCCGGUGUAGCGGUGAAAUGCGUAGAUAUUGGGAGGAACACCAGUGGCGAAGGCGAAUCUCUGGACAGUUACUGACACUGAGGCACGAAGGCCAGGGGAGCAAACGGG
rnacentral:rRNA from 1 species